rnacentral:rRNA from 1 species
AGUGAACGCUGGCGGUAGGCCUAACACAUGCAAGUCGAACGGCAGCACAGGAGAGCUUGCUCUCUGGGUGGCGAGUGGCGGACGGGUGAGGAAUACAUCGGAAUCUGCCCAGUCGUGGGGGAUAACGUAGGGAAACUUACGCUAAUACCGCAUACGACCUUCGGGUGAAAGAGGGGGAUCGCAAGACCUCUCGCGAUUGGAUGAGCCGAUGUCGGAUUAGCUAGUUGGCGGGGUAAUGGCCCACCAAGGCGACGAUCCGUAGCUGGUCUGAGAGGAUGAUCAGCCACACUGGAACUGAGACACGGUCCAGACUCCUACGGGAGGCAGCAGUGGGGAAUAUUGGACAAUGGGCGCAAGCCUGAUCCAGCCAUACCGCAUGGGUGAAGAAGGCCUUCGGGUUGUAAAGCCCUUUUGUUGGGAAAGAAAUCUUUCAGGCUAAUACCCUGGGAGGAUGACGGUACCCAAAGAAUAAGCACCGGCUAACUUCGUG